CCUACGGGUGGCAGCAGUGAGGAAUAUUGGUCAAUGGACGAGAGUCUGAACCAGCCAAGUAGCGUGAAGGAUGACUGCCCUAUGGGUUGUAAACUUCUUUUAUAUGAGAAUAAAACGUUCCACGUGUGGGAUUUUGUAUGUACCAUAUGAAUAAGGAUCGGCUAACUCCGUGCCAGCAGCCGCGGUAAUACGGAGGCUCCGAGCGUUAUCCGGAUUUAUUGGGGUUAAAGGGAGCGUAGGUGGAUUGUUAAGUCAGUUGUGAAAGUUUGCGGCUCAACCGUAAAAUUGCAGUUGAAACUGGCAGUCUUGAGUACAGUAGAGGUGGGCGGAAUUCGUGGUGUAGCGGUGAAAUGCUUAGAUAUCACGAAGAACUCCGAUUGCGAAGGCAGUUCACUGGACUGCAACUGACACUGAGGCUCGAAAGUGUGGGUAUCAAACAGGAUUAGAUACCCGUGUAGUC
rnacentral:rRNA from 1 species